rnacentral:rRNA from 1 species
UACGGAGGGAGCUAGCGUUGUUCGGAAUUACUGGGCGUAAAGCGCACGUAGGCGGCUUUUUAAGUCAGGGGGUGAAAUCCCGGGGCUCAACCCCGGAACUGCCCUUGAAACUGGAGAGCUAGAAUCUUGGAGAGGCGAGUGGAAUUCCGAGUGUAGAGGUGAAAUUCGUAGAUAUUCGGAAGAACACCAGUGGCGAAGGCGACUCGCUGGACAAGUAUUGACGCUGAGGUGCGAAAGCGUGGGGAGCAAACAGGG